rnacentral:rRNA from 1 species
CCUACGGGUGGCUGCAGUGGGGAAUAUUGCACAAUGGGGGAAACCCUGAUGCAGCGACGCAGCGUGAGUGAAGAAGUAUUUCGGUACGUUAAGCUCUAUCAGCAGGGAAAUAAAACCGGCCUUAGGGCCGCCAGACGGUACCUGACUAAGAAGCCCCGGCUCACUACGUGCCAGCAGCCGCGGUAAUACGUAGGGGGCAAGCGUUAUCCGGAUUUACUGGGUGUAAAGGGAGCGUAGACGGCAGCGCAAGUCUGGAGUGAAAUGCCGGGGCCCAACCCCGGAACUGCUUUGGAAACUGGGCAGCUGGAGUGCAGGAGAGGUAAGCGGAAUUCGUAGUGUAGCGGUGAAAUGCGUAGAUAUUAGGAGGAACACCAGUGGCGAAGGCGGCUUACUGGACUGUAACUGACGUUGAGGCUCGAAAGCGUGGGGAGCAAACAGGAUUAGAUACCCUUGUAGUC